ensembl:lncRNA
CGUCAAGCCUUUGGAUGAAUGCAGCCUCAUGGAAGACCCUGAGCCAGAACUGCCCAGCUAGGCAGCUGCUGAAUCCCUGACCUACAGACACUGAGAUAUAAUAAACAGCUGUGUAUUAAAUGAUGAAGUGUGAGGUAAUGUGUUACGGAACAAUAAAUAACUCAUGCAACUCCUUUUUCGGCUGCAAGAUGAACAGAUCUCUGGCCCCAGCGCAAUGCCACAACUGCUUAACAUGUAUUCAUGUAGAUGUUGGGAGAGAGAAAGGAUUAGCCAGGUCUAUGAUGUCCAUUAUCCUGGCUUCAGUUUGCAUACAUUGACUUCUUCCUUCUCUGUUGCUUUUUCUACUUCUCUCAUGUUGACCAGAGUACUCAGUAAACUAAAAAAUCCAGCUCUAGCAAAGCAAUCAGUUUUAUAAGUCUGCAGGCUUUAGUUAAAGGAACUGUCCUAUGUAAAUAUAGUAUUUUAUAAUAUUUUAGAAAUGUGGUUAAUUUCUAUUGACAGAAUCCCUCAUCGUGGCUGUCAGAUCCUAACUAGGCCCAUCCGUAUCUCAACAGAGGAGCAUGUCUUAUAUUCACAGAGAAAACAGAAGCAACAGACAGAAUCUCUUUUAUGAGACUGAUGGGCUGCCCACUGCACUAAGAAGCCAACUCAGCCAAGGAGAGGAAAAGACAAGUCAGAAUUACAAGGCCUAACUCCUUCAUCCCAGGAUCCUUGCCUGCGGAAUGAGGAGAGGGGGCUGGGGACCAUGCCUCCAUUUUGUCAGUAAUGCCUCAUGCGGCUCCCGACAGACUAUGGAAAUCUCUGAAGACCAGCUAAAGAAUAUUUCUCAGAAAUUUUGUUUGAAGUUCCCAGAAGGUUGAAACAGCUAGAAAUGGAAGGACACUCCAGGAAGAAAGAAGAGAGCAAGUUUCACUUGCUCACAGGCUGCCAUGUGCAGAAGCCUCCUGCUGGUGCUUCAGACCAGAGUUCCUCUGCUGAAGGGCUGUGCCGACUCUGCUCAGGGAUGUAGGCAGAAGGACCAAGCACAACUCAGAGAUUCAAGAUGGCGGCGGCCAGUUGAGUGCAAGCAGAGCAACACAUCUGGAUGUUCCCACGAGAACUCCACCCACUUCCACACCGGCAGCUUCAUCAGCCCUCCCCACAGCCUGUCUGUCAGGGAGAUACUGCGGUCUAGCAGUGGUUCCCCAAAUUUUUGGCACCAGGGACCACCUUCAUGGAAGACAGUUUUUCCAUAAACAAUGGCAUUGGGGACUAGGG